AUGGAUAUCGAGAUAGAGUUAGCAAAGUGUGAGUGUUGUGGCUUGAAAGAGGAUUGCACUCAAGACUACAUCAGUGAAGUGAAGUCGAAAUUUAGCGGAAAAUGGUUAUGUGGGCUGUGUUCAGAAGCUGUUAGAGAUGAAGCUAUUAGAGGGAAAAGGACAUUUGCAAUGGAAGAAGCAAUGAAAUCUCACAUGUUGUUCUGUCGUAGGAUUAAAUCGAAUCCUGCAGUUUGUGUUGCUGAUGGUAUGAGACAGAUGCUUAGGAGAAGAAGGUCAAAUGAGUUGUCUUCAUCAAACACACACACGAAGUCAACCACAACUUCUUAA